GAUGAACGCUAGCGGCAGGCUUAAUACAUGCAAGUCGUGGGGCAGCAUGUCCCGCAGCAAUGCGGGAUGAUGGCGACCGGCAAACGGGUGCGGAACACGUACACAACCUUCCUUUAAGUGGGGAAUAGGCCAGGGAAACUUGGGUUAAUACCCCGUAAUAUAUAGAAGCGGCAUCGUUUUUAUAUUAUAGCAGCAAUGCGCUUGAAGAUGGGUGUGCGGCUGAUAGAUAGUUGGCGGGGUAAUGGCCCACCAAGUCGACGAUCAGUAACUGGUGUGAGAGCACGACCAGUCACACGGGCACUGAGACACGGGCCCGACUCCUACGGGAGGCAGCAGUAAGGAAUAUUGGUCAAUGGACGCAAGUCUGAACCAGCCAUGCCGCGUGGA
rnacentral:rRNA from 1 species